rnacentral:rRNA from 1 species
UCGCCAGUAGAUUUAGGAUUAUUAUUGGUAGUGCCUGCUCAGUGCCCAUUGUGGUAAACAGCCGCUGUAUUUUGACGGUGCUAAGGUAGCGAAAUUCCUAGCCUUUUAAUUGGAGGCCUGCAUGAAUGGCUUGACGAGCGCCUGACUGUCUCUUUUUCACCUGUGAUGAAAUUAGCUUUUGUGUGCAAAGACACAAAUGAUUGAGUAAGACGAAAAGACCCUGUGCAACUUUACUAAGUAAAGGGUAGUCCUUAAUGUAGUUUAGCUGGGGCAGCUUAGGAAAAAGUAAAAUUUCCUUGUAUUUCAAAUACCGAUAGGUUAAGAUCCGAUUAUUAAGAUCGAUUAGCAGAAAAGUUACGCCAGGGAUAACAGCGUUAUCCCUCUGUGGAGGCCUUAUCUGCAGGGGGGAUUGCGACCUCGAUGUUGAAUUAGGGAUAUAGCGGAAAGGCGUAGCA